CGCGGCCUAUCAGCUUGUUGGUGAGGUAACGGCUCACCAAGGCAUCGACGGGUAGCUGGUCUGAGAGGAUGAUCAGCCACACUGGGACUGAGACACGGCCCAGACUCCUACGGGAGGCAGCAGUAGGGAAUAUUGCACAAUGGGCGAAAGCCUGAUGCAGCAACGCCGCGUGCGGGAAGAAGGCCCUAGGGUUGUAAACCGCUUUCAGCAGGGAAGAAAAUGACGGUACCUGCAGAAGAAGCUCCGGCCAACUACGUGCCAGCAGCCGCGGUAAUACGUAGGGAGCGAGCGUUGUCCGGAAUUAUUGGGCGUAAAGAGCUCGUAGGCGGUUCAGUAAGUCGGGUGUGAAAACUCAAGGCUCAACCUUGAGACGCCACUCGAUACUGCUGUGACUUGAGUCCGGUAGAGGAGUGUGGGAUUCCUGGUGUAGCGGUGAAAUGCGCAGAUAUCAGGAGGAACACCAGCGGCGAAGGCGGCACUCUGGGCCGGUACUGACGCUGAGGAGCGAAAGCAUGGGGAGCAAACAGGAUUAGAUACCCUGGUAGUCCAUGCCGUAAACGUUGGGCACUAGGUAUGGGAUCAUAUCAACGGAUUCCGUGCCGUAGCUAACGCAUUAAGUGCCCCGCCUGGGGAGUACGG
rnacentral:rRNA from 1 species